ACCAUUGCUUAUCCCAAAGCGCCCAAGCCAAUCUGCAAUAGUAGGUGGAUACACAAUACCUGAAGGAACUAAAGUAUUCUUAAAUGUUUAUGCAAUUCAUAGGGAUCCUCAUGCGUGGGAAAGUCCACUAGAAUUCCAGCCUGAAAGGUUCUUGAAUCGCUCGACAAAUUUAGACUAUGCUGGAAAUAACAUGAAGUACCUUCCAUUUGGUUCAGGGAGAAGAAUUUGUGCUGGACUUCCCUUAGCAG
rnacentral:misc_RNA from 1 species